rnacentral:rRNA from 1 species
UGGGGAAUAUUGCACAAUGGGCGCAAGCCUGAUGCAGCCAUGCCGCGUGUAUGAAGAAGGCCUUCGGGUUGUAAAGUACUUUCAGCGGGGAGGAAGGCGAUAAGGUUAAUAACCUUGUCGAUUGACGUUACCCGCAGAAGAAGCACCGGCUAACUCCGUGCCAGCAGCCGCGGUAAUACGGAGGGUGCAAGCGUUAAGCGGAAUUACUGGGCGUAAAGCGCACGCAGGCGGUCUGUCAAGUCGGAUGUGAAAUCCCCGGGCUCAACCUGGGAACUGCAUUCGAAACUGGCAGGCUAGAGUCUUGUAGAGGGGGGUAGAAUUCCAGGUGUAGCGGUGAAAUGCGUAGAGAUCUGGAGGAAUACCGGUGGCGAAGGCGGCCCCCUGGACAAAGACUGACGCUCAGGUGCGAAAGCGUGGGGAGCAAACA